rnacentral:rRNA from 1 species
GAUGAACGCUGGCGGCGUGCUUAACACAUGCAAGUCGAACGGAAAGGCCACAGCUUGCUGUGGUGCUCGAGUGGCGAACGGGUGAGUAACACGUGAGUAACCUGCCCUUGACUUUGGGAUAACUUCAGGAAACUGGGGCUAAUACCGGAUAGGAGCUCCUGCUGCAUGGUGGGGGUUGGAAAGUUUCGGCGGUUGGGGAUGGACUCGCGGCUUAUCAGCUUGUUGGUGGGGUAGUGGCUUACCAAGGCUUUGACGGGUAGCCGGCCUGAGAGGGUGACCGGCCACAUUGGGACUGAGAUACGGCCCAGACUCCUACGGGAGGCAGCAGUGGGGAAUAUUGCACAAUGGGCGGAAGCCUGAUGCAGCAACGCCGCGUGCGGGAUGACGGCCUUCGGGUUGUAAACCGCUUUCGCCUGUGACGAAGCGUGAGUGACGGUAAUGGGUAAAGAAGCACCGGCUAACUACGUG